rnacentral:rRNA from 1 species
UGGGGAAUCUUGCGCAAUGGCCGAAAGGCUGACGCAGCGACGCCGCGUGGGGGAGGAAGGGCUUCGGCUCGUAAACCCCUGUUGCCCGGGGCGAACAUCCCUUUUCGAGGGGACUGACGGUACCGGGUGAGGAAGCACCGGCUAACUCAGUGCCAGCAGCCGCGGUAAUACGGAGGGUGCGAGCGUUGUCCGGAAUCACUGGGCGUAAAGGGCGCGUAGGUGGCCGAGCAAGGUCGCGGUGAAAGCCCGGGGCUCAACCCCGGGUCGGCCGUGGCAACUACUGGGCUGGAGCACUGUAGGGGCAGAUGGAAUUCCGGGUGUAGCGGUGGAAUGCGUAGAGAUCCGGAAGAACACCGGUGGCGAAGGCGGUCUGCUGGGCAGUUGCUGACACUGAGGCGCGACAGCGUGGGGAGCAAAC